UCAAAAUAGCUCAGUCAGUAGAGCAUGAGAGACUUAAUCUCAGAGUCAUGGGUUUGAGUCCCAUGCUGGGCAAAA